rnacentral:rRNA from 1 species
GACGAACGCUGGCGGUGUGCUUAACACAUGCAAGUCGAACGGAAAGGCCCCUUUGGGGGUACUCUAGUUGCUAACGGGCGAGUAACACGCGAGUAACCUUCCCUUCACUUCUGGGUAACUUCAGGUAACUGGGGAUAAUACCAGAUAAGAAUCCUUGCUGCGGGAUGGUGUUUGGAAAGUGUCGGAGGUGUUGGAAGGAUUCGCGGCUGAUCAGCUUGUUGGUGGGGUAGUGGCCUACCAGGGCUUUGCCGGGUAGCAGGCCUGGGAAGGCGACCGGCCACAUUGGGACUGAGAUACGGCCAAGACUCCUACGGGAGGCAGCAGUGGGGAAUAUUGAUCAAUGAGCGGAAGCCUGAUGCAGCACCGCCGCGUGCGGGAUGACGGCAUUCGGGUUGUAAACCGCAUGCAGCAGGGGCGAAGCUUGUGGUGACGGUACCUGCAGAAGAAGCACCGGCUAACUACGUG